GACGAACGCUGGCGGCGUGCCUAAUACAUGCAAGUAGAACGCUGAAGGAGGAGCUUGCUUCUCUGGAUGAGUGGCGAACGGGUGAGUAACGCGUAGGUAACCUGCCUGUUAGCGGGGGAUAACUAUUGGAAACGAGAGCUAAUACCGCAUAAUAUUUACUAUUGCAUGAUAGUCAGUUGAAAGGUGCAGCUGCUCCACUACCAGAUGGAGCUGCGUUGUAUUAGCUAGUUGGUGGGGUAACGGCUCACCAAGGCGAAGAGACAUAGUCGAACUGAGAGGGGGGUCGGCCACCCUGGGACUGAGACCAGGCACAGGCUUCUACGGGAGGGAGCCGUAGGGAAUCCUUGGGAAUUGGGGGAAGUCUGACCGGGGAACGCCGGGGUAGUGAAGAAGGGUUUCGGGUCGUAAAGCUCUGUUGUAAGGGAAGAAAGAGUGUGAGAGUGGAAAGCUCACACUGUGACGGUAUCUUAUCAGAAAGCGACGGCUAACUACGUG
rnacentral:rRNA from 1 species